UGCAGCCUCAGCCAGCGCUGCCCAGUGCGAGAGGAAGAUGAAGGUGGCUGUGCUCAGCGUGGCCCUGCUCUUCUCCAUCCUGCUGUGCCGCCCGGCAGACGCUCACUUUGGGAGAGAUUGCCGCUGGUCUUUGCUGGGGGGUGCUCGUUGUCCCCAUGACCCCGGCUCCGGUGGAGGACCCCCUGCUGAUGAGACGAGCGAAAGUUCGUCAAGCGAAAGUUUGUCGAGCGAAAGUUUGUCGAGCGAAAGUUCGUCGAGUGAAGAGGUCUGAGGAUUGGAACUGGUGGUGACACCCGUGUCCUGUCCUCCUCCAGCGGCAUGAGGAGAUCGUCACCCGUGGAGGACCCCUCCACCCCCUGGGAGCCCUGGGAAUUUCCCUGGAAUGAUCAAUAAACCCCUCCAGCAGA